GACGAACGCUGGCGGCGUGCCUAAUACAUGCAAGUUGAGCGAUGAAGCUUGGUGCUUGCACCAAUUUGAAGAGCAGCGAGCGGGUGAGUAACGCGUGGGGAAUCUGCCUUUGAGCGGGGGACAACAUUUGGAAACGAAUGCUAAUACCGCAUAACAACUUUAAACAUAAGUUUUAAGUUUGAAAGAUGCAAUUGCAUCACUCAAAGAUGAUCCCGCGUUGUAUUAGCUAGUUGGUGAGGUAAAGGCUCACCAAGGCGAUGAUACAUAGCCGACCUGAGAGGGUGGUCGGCCACAUUGGGACUGAGACACGGCCCAAACUCCUACGGGAGGCAGCAGUAGGGAAUCUUCGGCAAUGGACGAAAGUCUGACCGAGCAACGCCGCGUGAGUGAAGAAGGUUUUCGGAUCGUAAAACUCUGUUGGUAGAGAAGAACGUUGGUGAGAGUGGAAAGCUCAUCAAGUGACGGUAACUACCCAGAAAGGGACGGCUAACUACGUG
rnacentral:rRNA from 1 species